rnacentral:rRNA from 1 species
UACGUAGGGCGCAAGCGUUGUCCGGAAUUAUUGGGCGUAAAGAGCUCGUAGGCGGCCUGUUGCGUCCGCUGUGAAAUCCCGGGGCUCAACCCCGGGCCUGCAGUGGAUACGGGCUGGCUAGAGGUAUGCAGGGGAGAACGGAAUUCCUGGUGUAGCGGUGGAAUGCGCAGAUAUCAGGAGGAACACCGAUGGCGAAGGCAGAUCUCUGGGCCGUAACUGACGCUGAGGAGCGAAAGCGUGGGGAGCGAACAGG